rnacentral:rRNA from 1 species
GACGAACGCUGGCGGCGUGCCUAAUACAUGCAAGUCGAACGCAGUGGGGACGGGAGAGUAACACGUGGGUAACCUCCCCAGCAGAGGGGCUAAAACUUGGAAACAGGUGCUAAACCGAUACAGGUGGAUGGACCCGCGGUGCAUUAGCUAGUGGGUGAGGUAACGGCUCACCAGGGCCACGAUGCAUAGCCGGUCUGAGAGGGGGAGCGGCAACACUGGGACUGAGACACGGCCCAGACUCCUACGGGAGGCAGCAGUGGGGAAUCUUCGGCAAUGGACGAAAGUCUGACCGAGCAACGCCGCGUGUGUGAAGAAGGUUUUCGGAUCGUAAAACUCUGUUGUUAGAGAAGCGGUAUCUGACCAGUAAGCCACGGCUAACUACGGGCCAGCAGCCGCGGUAAUAC